AAUCUAAUUCGAAAUUACCCCAUCGCUCAUUUAGCUUAUGAACUUAACCACUUCAAAUGAAAGCACAACUAAGAAAACAACUCAAAAUUAAAUAAUUAUCCUGUAUUCAUGUCAUUCUGAUUUCCAGAACUGGUUUUAAAGAAAUCUUCUACCAUCACUUAUUAAAUUCAGAAGAACUACCCCAUCAGUGUCCCAAAAAAUCUCAAAAAGGAACUUGGAGGGGUUUGAAUAGGCUAGACCAAACCUCCAACACAUCAACAUGCAUCUAACAUCCAUGACUAUGAACCCAAAACAAAAUAUACCAUUCGAUUAAUCUGUAAUUUAACAGUCUAUUCAUUUAACUAUAGUUUAAGCAUUAUUAUAACACCCAAUGUUCAGAAAUUAUACACUAAGUUUGAAUAACAAACUAUCGUACAUUACUAGCAUGAACCAGACUCGACAUAAAACAGAAAUGGAAACUGAAGUAUUUGAUCACACAAUGACAUAAAUAACAAUGAUUAUAUCACAAUUUUAAAAUUUUCAUUCAAACUUCAGCUUGUAUUUCCUGAUCCUUACAUAUGCUAAGCAAUGCUCAAAUCCAUGACAAGUUUUGAUAGUGUACCUGGAGUUUUGAGAUAACACAAAGAGUGAAGAGUCAAUAGCAGGGCAGUACAAGAGCAAUGAUCAACAACAACAAGAAUACUCCCAGAUUUGAUCAAGUAACCCCAGUUAAAUUAGCUCAAACUAAUGAAACAGUGACUUUGACUCAAAAAUCGACCCUAGAUUUCAAAAGAAAGUGUAAGUUCAGUCCUUUUCACACACUCACUGAAACCAAAGUUACUUGGACAAAUUGAAACCCAAAAUCAGAGGCCCAAAUCAAUGGAACUGUAAUUUUCUUGUUAAUGUUUUAGUCGUUCUAUUUUUCUAAUUUUCCUAGCCCUUCAAUCCUCUCCCUUCAGCUGCAAGUGACUAUGCCUUUAUAGGAAAGUCACUAGGGCAGCCCCUAGGUUUUUUUAUUUCAUUUAAGUCCCCGCUUUUAUAGCUUUCUUGCCAAGUUAUAGCCUAAAAGUUACAGGAAACCCCUGCUAGAAGCUUCUUAUUAUUGUUAUAUUCCCUGGUCAUAUUACUUAUACUACCCUCCAUCCCCUGAAAAUUAAUCUAGACUAACAAAUAACCUUGGCUCAAAGAGAGCCGGCCUUUUGAAUUGGGUUAUAAAUGACCCAAAGAGCCCAAAGCUAUACCUCAAACCCAAAACACAAACCAAACCGCAAAUUCUGAAUUGAACAAAGACCAUGAGCCAUUUGAGCCACAAGUUUGCCAACUCCAAUUAAUGCUUGAUGAAAUUUAAACUAAAUUACUGACAGAUUAUUAAAGCUAACUAAAGAAAAGAGAAGAAGGCCCCUAAGUUAACAUGUAUGUGAAAGGCUCUAAAACUGGGACAUUCAGAAAGUUCAGAAGGAAGAAGGAGGAGAAAAUAGCGAAACGACGGACAAAGCAAAAAUAAAAACAAAAGAGAAAAGAUAAAGAAAUACCUAAUGAGACUCAGAACAGCCCUACCCGACCUUGCAGAACUCCAUCCAUUUCUUGACCUUGUUAGAUCUUGGACUUGUGUUUUUCCGUGUGAGCACACAUGACUAAUGCUCAGCAAAAUUAGAAAGUCCUCAGACCCAUUGAGUUCGAAACUGUGGGGAUUUUGAUUCAAGAUUUAAUCCAUCUAAGGGGUAUUCGAAGGAAAAUAUUAGUGGAUUUGUCAUGAGGGAGGCAUGAGGUUGCAAGGUGUGAAUUUGGGGUGAUUUAGAAUCGGUGUUGCCAGUUCAUGACAGUGGCUAGGUUUUCAAAGAUUUGUGAGGUUUGGGAGAGUUUUGAGGAAAACUAAUAGCAGAUGCGAGAUGAGGAAGUCAAGGCAAGACUAUGGUGUAAAAAUGAAGGUCAUUGGAUGAUCGCCACCGGCAGAGGCGAUUUCUGGCCGGCGGUUCAUGGCGGUGGACGACGGGGUUAAAUCUAGUCUUGUAGGGGGUUCUGAGG
rnacentral:lncRNA from 1 species